CAGCCUUUCAUGCAGCAAAGGUAUUAAUUCUUGUGCCUCCCCUCUGUCUUGCUAGGAAUAAAAAAGUAGGAACUCCUCUAUCUUCAGGACCUGAAUUGCCUUACUAAGGCACAGGGGCUGCACAGGGGUAGUGAGGAGAACAGCUGGUCCAAUGUUAUAUGCUUCCUGUGAUGAGAAAUCAAGUCAGUAUUAUUUUUCUUCCCCAGAUGUAUCUGUUACUAUUUACAGGAAUCAGAUCCCUUCACCAAGGAGAUACUCUUCAGAGCAGAAGUUCAUUUUUUUCAAAGUCAGCUCAGCCUAGAGAAACUGGAUAAACCCAGAAGUGUAACAUGAUGUUGUUUGGAAAAAGGCCUGCUCUGUUGGCGCUGGGGGAGGCAGGAGCUGGGCGAUGUGCUCUGAGUGGUGACAGAUUACUGGAGGUUAAGAAGGUGGAUUUUUACCCGAUGGACUUGGCAGCUCUCCUGCAGGUCUAUGCACUCAGUAUUGAUCUUGCUGCAAGAUGAAUAGUGAUAUGGAUUUUUCUUUUUUUUUUAAUUCUUUUUUGGGCACCUCUAAAUAUGGCUGGCAUUCAUGAGAGUCUUGCCUAAGGACUGGUAUUAAUCUAAACUAAUCAAG
rnacentral:lncRNA from 1 species